UACUCCGUGGCGCAACGGUAGCGCUUCUGACUCCAGAUCAGAAGGCUGCGUGUUCAGAUCACGUCGGGGUCA
rnacentral:tRNA from 1 species